rnacentral:rRNA from 1 species
UAGGGAAUCUUCGGCAAUGGACGAAACUCUGACCGAGCAACGCCGCGUGAGUGAAGAAGGUUUUCGGAUCGUAAAACUCUGUUGUUAGAGAAGAACAAGGACGUUAGUAACUGAACGUCCCCUGACGGUAUCUAACCAGAAAGCCACGGCUAACUACGUGCCAGCAGCCGCGGUAAUACGUAGGUGGCAAGCGUUGUCCGGAUUUAUUGGGCGUAAAGCGAGCGCAGGCGGUUUCUUAAGUCUGAUGUGAAAGCCCCCGGCUCAACCGGGGAGGGUCAUUGGAAACUGGGAGACUUGAGUGCAGAAGAGGGGAGUGGAAUCCCAUGUGUAGCGGUGAAAUGCGUAGAUAUAUGGAGGAACACCAGUGGCGAAGGCGGCUCUCUGGUCUGUAACUGACGCUGAGGCUCGAAAGCGUGGGGAGCAAACAGG